AGCGGACGCUGGCGGCAGGCUUAACACAUGCAAGUCGAGCGGGCACUUUCGGGUGUCAGCGGCGGACGGGUGAGUAACGCGUGGGAACGUGCCCUCUGGUUCGGAAUAACUCAGGGAAACUUGAGCUAAUACCGGAUACGCCCUUUUGGGGAAAGGCUUGCUGCCGGAGGAUCGGCCCGCGUCUGAUUAGCUAGUUGGUGAGGUAACGGCUCACCAAGGCGACGAUCAGUAGCUGGUCUGAGAGGAUGAUCAGCCACACUGGGACUGAGACACGGCCCAGACUCCUACGGGAUGCAGCAGUGGGGAAUAUUGGACAAUGGGCGCAAGCCUGAUCCAGCCAUGCCGCGUGAGUGAUGAAGGCCUUAGGGUUGUAAAGCUCUUUUAUCCGGGACGAUAAUGACGGUACCGGAGGAAUAAGCCCCGGCUAACUUCGUG
rnacentral:rRNA from 1 species